rnacentral:rRNA from 1 species
UACGAAGGGGGCUAGCGUUGCUCGGAAUCACUGGGCGUAAAGGGUGCGUAGGCGGGUCUUUAAGUCAGGGGUGAAAUCCUGGAGCUCAACUCCAGAACUGCCUUUGAUACUGAAGAUCUUUGAGUCCGGGAGAGGUGAGUGGAACUGCGAGUGUAGAGGUGAAAUUCGUAGAUAUUCGCAAGAACACCAGUGGCGAAGGCGGCUCACUGGCCCGAUACUGACGCUGAGGUGCGAAAGCGUGGGGAGCAAACAGG